rnacentral:lncRNA from 1 species
CCGUGGUCUGCACAAACCACUGCGGUUUGGAGAUCUGACCCUCGUGUUUCUCUCGCAGGUUCCUCCUCGUGACGGAGAGCUCCAUGGUGUGGACUACAACUUCCUGUCUGUGGAGGACUUCCUGGAGCUAGAGCGGAGCGGAGGACUGCUAGAGAUAGGAACGCAUGACGGUAACUAUUAUGGGACACCCAAGCCACCCAUCCAGCCUCUCAGUAGGACAGUGAUUACCCAUGAUGCUUUGUGACACAGUUGCACUGGUUGCCAGAAGUGCUGCGAUCGCGUGAAGCAUGCAGGAGUAGAGCAGACAGCGCUGCAGGAGGAUGCAGACAUGAACAACACGUUUACAGGAGACUCUAGCCGGCCGGAGGUGCGAGACAAUGCCCCCAGCUAUGUGCUGAACAACAUGGCCACCUCGCCGCCGGGCCUUCCUCCGGACCAGGACCCGCUCGGAGCGCUGCCGGACAACUGGGAGACCGCCUACACCGAGAGCGGAGAGAUUUACUUCAUCGAGU